AUAAAAAUCAUUUUAGGAUUUUGUUAAAAUACAGAUUAUGACUUAGAAAUUAUGAGAUGGGCCUGAGAUUCUGCAUUCCUAAUGAGUGCCAGGAGAUGCUGAU
rnacentral:pre_miRNA from 1 species